rfam:Anoxybacillus sp. B7M1, complete genome.
UUACCCACCUUGUUGAGCAAGGAGGCUCCCGUUAACCAAGCGCCACCGGCGGGAGUAAAAUCUCGUGAAUUGCUGGGACGCCCUAAAGCCAACUUGACCACAACGUAGCUGGCAACGGCAAGCGUGACGGUUGAAAAACAAGUUGGAUGAAACAAUGGGCUAUCAGCAGCCAAGCUUCUCUGGAAACGGAGAUGAAGGUUCAGAGACGAUCGAAACCUCCUAAGACACUUAGCGUUAAGGAGGGAGUAGACUAAGCGGGCGGCAACGCUCGUUUAGAGCGCGAGACAAGGAGAUACGUUCUCUUUGAUGAUAGAGUCCGACCUCUAGUGAAAGCUAGAG